UUUGAUCCUGGCUCAGGAUGAACGCUGGCGGCGUGCUUAACACAUGCAAGUCGAACGGGCUCAUAUUGAAACCUAGUGAUUUAUGAGUUAGUGGCGGACGGGUGAGUAACGCGUGGAAAACCUGCCGUAUACUGGGGGAUAACACUUAGAAAUAGGUGCUAAUACCGCAUAAGCGCACAGCUUCGCAUGAAGUGGUGUGAAAAACUCUGGUGGUAUACGAUGGUUCCGCGUCUGAUUAGCUUGUUGGUGGGGUAAUGGCUCACCAAGGCGACGAUCAGUAGCCGGCCUGAGAGGGUGAACGGACACAUUGGGACUGAGACACGGCCCAAACUCCUACGGGAGGCAGCAGUGGGGAAUAUUGCACAAUGGGGGAAACCCUGAUGCAGCGACGCCGCGUGAGUGAAGAAGUAUUUCGGUAUGUAAAGCUCUAUCAGCAGGGAAGAAAUAGCGACCUUUGGGUCGCCAGACGGUACCUGAUUAAGAAGCCCCGGCUAACUACGUG
rnacentral:rRNA from 1 species